rnacentral:rRNA from 1 species
AGGUGAUCUAUCCAUGAGCAGGAUGAAGGUAGGGUAACACCUACUGGAGGUCCGAACCGGUGUCUGUUGAAAAAGACUCGGAUGACUUGUGGAUAGGGGUGAAAGGCUAAUCAAACUCGGUGAUAGCUGGUUCUCCCCGAAAGCUAUUUAGGUAGCGCCUCGGACGAAUACCAUUGGGGGUAGAGCACUGUUUCGGCUAGGGGGUCAUCCCGACUUACCAAACCGAUGCAAACUCCGAAUACCAGCAAGUGUCAGCACGGGAGACACACGGCGGGUGCUAACGUCCGUCGUGAAAAGGGAAACAACCCAGACCGUCAGCUAAGGUCCCAAAGUUAUGGUUAAGUGGGAAACGAUGUGGGAAGGCUUAGACAGCUAGGAGGUUGGCUUAGAAGCAGCCAUCCUUUAAAGAAAGCGUAAUAGCUCACUAGUCGAGUCGGCCUGCGCGGAAGAUGUAACGGGGCUCAAACCAUACACCGAAGCUACGGGUUCAUCCUUUGGAUGAGCGGUAGAGGAGCGUUCUGUAAGCCUGUGAAGGUGAGUUGAGAAGCUUGCUGGAGGUAUCAGAAGUGCGAAUGCUGACAUGAGUAACGACAAUGCGAGUGAAAAACUCGCACGCCGAAAGACCAAGGUUUCCUGCGCAACGUUAAUCGACGCAGGGUUAGUCGGCCCCUAAGGCGAGGCAGAAAUGCGUAGUCGAUGGGAAACGGGUUAAUAUUCCCGUACUUCUAGUUACUGCGAUGGAGGGACGGAGAAGGCUAGGCCAGCACGGCGUUGGUUGUCCGUGUUUAAGGUGGUAGGCUGAGAUCUUAGGUAAAUCCGGGAUCUUAAGGCCGAGAGCUGAUGACGAGCGUUCUUUUAGAAUGCGAAGUGGUUGAUGCCAUGCUUCCAGGAAAAGCUUCUAAGCUUCAGGUAACUAGGAACCGUACCCCAAACCGACACAGGUGGUUAGGUAGAGAAUACCAAGGCGCUUGAGAGAACUCGGGUGAAGGAACUAGGCAAAAUGGCACCGUAACUUCGGGAGAAGGUGCGCCGGUGAGGGUGAAGUAUUUACUGCGUAAGCCCAUGCCGGUCGAAGAUACCAGGCCGCUGCGACUGUUUAUUAAAAACACAGCACUCUGCAAACACGAAAGUGGACGUAUAGGGUGUGACGCCUGCCCGGUGCCGGAAGAUUAAAUGAUGGGGUGCAAGCUCUUGAUUGAAGUCCCGGUAAACGGCGGCCGUAACAAUAACGGUCCUAAGGUAGCGAAAUUCCUUGUCGGGUAAGUUCCGACCUGCACGAAUGGCGUAACGAUGGCGGCGCUGUCUCCACCCGAGACUCAGUGAAAUUGAAAUCGCUGUGAAGAUGCAGUGUAUCCGCGGCUAGACGGAAAGACCCCGUGAACCUUUACUAUAGCUUUGCACUGGACUUUGAGCUUGCUUGUGUAGGAUAGGUGGGAGGCUUUGAAGUGGGGACGCCAGUUCUCAUGGAGCCAUCCUUGAAAUACCACCCUGGCAACCUUGAGGUUCUAACUCUGGUCCGUUAUCCGGAUCGAGGACAGUGUAUGGUGGGUAGUUUGACUGGGGCGGUCUCCUCCCAAAGAGUAACGGAGGAGUACGAAGGUGCGCUCAGACCGGUCGGAAAUCGGUCGUAGAGUAUAAAGGCAAAAGCGCGCUUGACUGCGAGACAGACACGUCGAGCAGGUACGAAAGUAGGUCUUAGUGAUCCGGUGGUUCUGUAUGGAAGGGCCAUCGCUCAACGGAUAAAAGGUACUCCGGGGAUAACAGGCUGAUACCGCCCAAGAGUUCAUAUCGACGGCGGUGUUUGGCA